UACAUCGCCGGACUGGAGCUUUCUGUUACUCUUGCCCAAUCAGCGCGCUGCACCGUUGUUUGCCUUGCUUUUUGAAUUGAGUUCGGGCAAAUACCUACUCGGGACUACUAUUAAGCAGUUAGCUAGCUGUCAACAAGUAACCACAUUUCGACAAUUUGGACUAUUCACGCAUAAAGGGCAACAUGCCCACCAGACUUGCCAUAUAACGAAGAGAUGUUAUAGAUUUUAGAGUGUUCUAGAGUGUUUUGGGCCGAAGAGGAAUUCUCGGGAAUUCUUUAUUGUAUUGUUGACUUGAAGUUACUAGCUAACGUUAGCUCGGUAGCUAACGUUAGCUAAUUUAGUUAGAGAGCUCAUUGAAUUAAGUUAGCUCGCCCCCGUUUCUGUAAUUCCUUGAUAUAAGUUACCAGCCAUCGAAACAGGCGUUUGGACAAUUUGGUGCCUCCACAAGUUCCUGGCAUGGCUGACAGCAGCAUAGUGACUUUAGGGACAGCUCGAAGUCUGCUGGAUUCUUCGGUCUAUGAUUCGAAGAUCGCCGAAACCACCAAGGACCAUGUAUUUCUGGGGAUGGCAUGUGAAGACGGGGAAGAUAUGCUGCCAAAAGUGGAGACAAGGGUUGUUCUUGUGGGAGAAGCAGGCAGAAAUGGGGCGCUGGUCAAAGCUCUGCAGGUACAU